GGAUAUAGCUCAGUGGUAGAGCACGUGCUUAGCAUGCACGAGGUCCUGGGUUCAAUCUCCAGUACCUCCA
rnacentral:tRNA from 1 species